GACGAACGCUGGCGGCGUGCCUAAUACAUGCAAGUCGAGCGCAGGAAAUCAUCUGAACCCUUCGGGGGGACGUUGAUGGAAUGAGCGGCGGACGGGUGAGUAACACGUAAAGAACCUGCCCUCAGGUCUGGGAUAACCACGAGAAAUCGGGGCUAAUACCGGAUGGGUCAUCGGACCGCAUGGUCCGAGGAUGAAAGGCGCUGCGGCGUCGCCCGGGGAUGGCUUUGCGGUGCAUUAGCUCGUUGGUGGGGUAAUGGCCCACCAAGGCGACGAUGCAUAGCCGACCUGAGAGGGUGGUCGGCCACACUGGGACUGAGACACGGCCCAGACUCCUACGGGAGGCAGCAGUAGGGAAUCUUCCACAAUGGACGAAAGUCUGAUGGAGCAACGCCGCGUGAACGAUGAAGGCCUUCGGGUCGUAAAGUUCUGUUGUAAGGGAAGAACAAGUGCCGCAGGCAAUGGCGGCACCUUGACGGUACCUUGCGAGAAAGCCACGGCUAACUACGUGCCAGCCGCCGCCGUAA
rnacentral:rRNA from 1 species